rnacentral:lncRNA from 1 species
AUGAAGACAGGAUGGACCACUACCUCUGGUGAAGCAGAGAUGACAUCUUUGGUUGAUGAGCUCAAAGCAGAAAUGGCCCAGUCCCUUCAAGAGAUGGCACUGCCCACUUCACUCCACAUUAAGAGAAGUCUUGACACUAUCACUUGCACUCCCAUUAUUGCCACUAUCUCUACAAAAUCAAACAUUACAGACACACAUUCUUGUGGGAGGGCAGUAGGCAUGAGAAGGAAUUAUUUCCUCCAUCAGAAUCUUUCUUCAGAUGUUCUGGCUUGGGACUUGCUCUGGGGUGAAGGGGAUGGACUUGCUAUAUACCUGGGGGAUGAGCUUGGAGAGAAGAACUCUCUUUGGAGGCUUUCAGUAGAAGAAUGUACUCUGUCUUGGGAAUAUGUUCAGCAUAUUCAGAGCUAGGGAAUGCCUGGCACCUGAAAAUAAGUGAUCCCCAUUGAGAGUCACCAUGGCGAUUCAACAGCUAGAAGGGUCUGGAGGAGAUGCACAUGAGACCUGAGGUUGGUACUAACUAUGCGAAAAUAGGAAACUUUCUCAUCUUUCCCAGCAUCCUUUUCCUCCUGUGUAAAAUGGGAGCAAUUGCCUUUGUUUACAGGGCUGUUAGAAAGUUUAGAUGAGACAAUAGGCAUAAAAGUACUCAAUCAGAGGCUAACAUGAGUGCUAUAAAGACAAAAGAGUGCUGGUAAUUCUGAGCAGGCAGAGGUUAAUGUGAUGGAGUCAUCAGAGAGUCCGGUGGAGAAGAUGAGCUAGACACAUUGAAUUCCUUGAAUUGUUGAUGAUUUUUCAGCUUUUAUCUUAACGUUACAAUAAUAAUACGUGCUCAUUGUGAAAAAUUUUGGGUGGGGAACAUAAACAAGAAAAUUGAAGUCUUUUCUAGUCUUGUCACUCUAGUCAAGCACUCUUAUCAAUGCUUGUUAACAUUUCUGGGAAAUCUUUACCACAUGUAACUUGGGUGAAAGAGAAGAGAGAGAAAAUUCUGGUCAUUUACUACUGUUUGAACAUAGAGGCUUGGCUUAAGCAAGGAGAACAUUUGGGUCAGGGGUGAGAAACUGUAGCAGAAGAUAAAGUUGGAGACAGAUCAGACAGGUUCUGUAUGCAAAGGCAUCAGUAGUUUCCCUUCUGAUUUUUUUAAAAGGAAAGUCGUAAAACCUUAACUUUCUGUCUCUCUUCCUGCUCUUUCACCUUCUGAUCUUUAUCAAUGCUCUCAAACAAAUUGACACGAAUUGCCAUGGGAAAGGCUAUUACCUAACCAAGAGAACAAUGGGAUUGAGGUGCCAGAGUCAGUUGUCCUCUCCUAUGAAAUAAAUUGUGGGUCUGUGCUGGAUUCUUGUAUGGGUGGCCUCUUGGUUUAUUAAUGAUUGGAACACUUUGGAAACUUCAAUCCCUGAACCUUGCUGGAACUGGGACAUGCUCCCUCAACCUCCACAUCUUUUAUUUUCUUUCGAAACUUUAUUUUUAUUAAAGUAUAAUUGAUUUACAGCAUUGUGCCAAUUUCUGCUGUACAGCAUAGUGACCCAGUCAUACAUAUACAUGCAUUCUUUUUCUCAUAGAAUUCUUUUUCUUCCAUCAUGGUCUGUCCCAAGAGAUUGAAUAUAGUUCCUUGCGCUUAUAAUGGGCUUUGUCAUAUGUGACGUGGGGCUGACAAGUCAGUGGCUUUAGAUACAUUUUGAUUCCAAAGGAGCAGGAGAGAAAGGAGUGUGUGUGUGUGUGUGUGUGUAUGUGUGUAUGUGUGUUUGUGUAUCGGUGGGGGGUUGAGGGGGGAACUGAAUGAGCAGAAAAGUAUGAAGGAUGGAGAGAGAGGAAGUGAGAAAGCCAGAAAGAAAAUCGGAGAGGUGGCAUAAAGAGUGAACAGGGAAAUAGAGAAGAGGGAGGGGAAGAUGAUGAGAGACAGAAAAGGCUGCUUGAAUGACAGACGGAGUGAGUGCAAGGGAGACAGAGACAGUCAUUACUACUUAAUGAUUAAUACAGGAUUUACAUGAAAUAUUCAUGAAAGGAAAUUGGAGCUAUAGACAAAUCCAAACGCCGCUUCCCCAGCCCCUCACCUCCCCCUUCCUACUCAACACUAAAUUCUUUGGAGAUCCAUGCCCUCUAUUGUCAUUAUCUGGGAACAACUGAUGGAUGUAACUGGGAGGGAAGCUUGUUCCUUUGAUGGUAUUUGACUCCAUUAAAAACAUGUCUUCGGGUCUGCUCUGCUGGCUGUCGAGCUUCUGCGAGAGUGAGGCACUUUAGGGAAUGUUCCUGGCAUCUUGGAGGUGAGCCAGAUGGCUUCUGCCUUCCUCUGAGCUCUGUCUGUGAUGGAAGGCUCCAGGUGCUUCCUGAGCCAGGACCUGCUUCUCCUGCAGGUGACAGUGGAAAGAACCUCUAGGGUGGUGGGUGCCCUGCAGACCUGCCUGCAGAGCCCAGUGGUGAUAAGCAACAGAAGCUCAAUAUAUCCAGGUUGCUGCUACUUGCCAUCAGAUCAGCCCAGCUCAAACAAGAAAGCAGUCUUGUUACAGGAGGUCCUCUCAUCUCUCCAAGCCUUCAUUGCUCAUUCACGUGUGUAUAGGAAUAUCUGCUUUGUGGACCGUAUUGCCCAGUGACCGGGGAGGGUUCACCCAGGGCUUGGUGUAAGAUGAGGACCUGGUGCUUUCCCCUUCAUUUCCUCCCACCUCCUCUCUCCCUUGUCACACAACAGCAGGGGAUGAAACUCAUGUCACCACGAGAGCUUGUCCCCGGGGGUGUGAUGCCAGAGCUGAAGACUGGGAAUUAGGGUCCUCUACUGCCUGCCUCCUGCCCCUGUAGCAGGUGAUGCAUGAGAGAGGUUCACCCUUGGGAAAGUUUUAUAGCUGCUUUGAUUUUCACACCUCCCCACACCCCUAUAUCAACCUGCCCCCCAAUUUUUCAUGCUGAAGUUAUGUAUGGGCUAAACUGUAGCUUUUGCCUGGUUUAUAUUUUUUUAUUUUUUAUUUUAUUUUUCCUUUUUGGCCACUUCAUAGCACAUGGAAGUUCCUGGGCCAGGGAUCAAAUCUGAGAUACAGCUGCGGCAAGGCUGGAUCCUUAACCCACUGCACCAGGCAGGGGAUCGAACCUGUCUCCCAGAGCUCCAGAGAAGCCUCUGAUCCCAUUGAGCCACAAUAGGAACUCCUGCCUGGUUUUUAAAGCGCCAUAUUUCCUCAGCUCCAGACGAGAAGGGAGAUCAAGUCUCUUACAUAAAAAUAACAAGCACUGUCAUUUUCCUAUUAUAAUG